rnacentral:rRNA from 1 species
CUAGAGGUUAUUGGAGGUUAGUGGAAUUUCCGGUGGAGCGGUGAAAUGUGUUGAUAUCGGAAAGAAUGCCAAAAGCGAAAGCAGCUAACUACAAUAAACCUGACGGUGAGAGACGAAAGCUUGGGUAGCAAACAGGAUUAGAUACCCUGGUAGUCCAAGCCCUAAAUUAUGUCCGCUAGAUGUCUUUUCGAUUCGUCGGAGGGGUGUCGCAAGUUAACACGUUAAGCGGAUCGCCUGGGUAGUAUACUCGCAAGAGUGAAACUCAAAGGGAUAGGCGGGGGAACACACAAGCAGUGGAUUGUCUAGAUUAAUUGGAUAGCAAGCCAAGAAUCUUACCUAGACUUGACAUAUAAUGUGUCUCAUGUGAAAGCAUGAUAAUCCGAGCAAUCGGAUACUUUAUACAGGUGGUGCAUGGUCGUCGUCAGCUCGUGCCGCAAGGUGUCUAGUUAAGUCUAGUAACGAGCGCAACCCUCAUCUAUAGUUAGAAUGUCUAUAGAGACUGCCCGGGCAACCGGGAGGAAGGGGAGGAUGACGUCAGAUCCUCAUGCCCCUUAUGUCUAGGGCUUCAUAGACAAUACAAUGGGUAGCAACAGUGAGAAGCGAAACCGUGAGGUGGAGCAAAUCUUUAAACCUACCCCUAGUUCGGAUUGUAAUCUGGAAC